UACGAAGGGGGCUAGCGUUGCUCGGAAUUACUGGGCGUAAAGGGAGCGUAGGCGGAUAGUUUAGUCAGAUGUGAAAGUCCUGGGCUUAACCUGGGGACUGCAUUUGAUACUGAUUGGCUUGAAUUCGGGAGAGGAUAGCGGAAUUCCCAGUGUAGAGGUGAAAUUCGUAGAUAUUGGGAAGAACACCGGUGGCGAAGGCGGCUAUCUGGACCGACAUUGACGCUGAUGCGCGAAAGCGUGGGGAGCAAACAGG
rnacentral:rRNA from 1 species